rnacentral:misc_RNA from 1 species
UGCAGGAUCAUACAGAGCCCAUCAACGUUUGUCGCGGAGUUGAAGCAACCUGACAAAGCAGAGUCAGCCAUGCCUUGGUUACCGAGAGAAGGUAGUGAAGUCGUGAAAUAUUUUUUUGUUAUCUGAAGGACUAGUUACCUAUCUAUACAUAAAGGUCGAAGGUUCACAUGUAGAUAGGAUCUACCUUAUGGUUUUCCAGAACUUGAAGAGGAG